CCUACGGGUGGCAGCAGUAGGGAAUAUUGCACAAUGGGGGAAACCCUGAUGCAGCGACGCCGCGUGAAUGAAGAAGUAAUUCGUUAUGUAAAGCUCUAUCGGCAGGGAAGAAAAUGACGGUACCUGAGUAAGAAGCCCCGGCUAACUACGUGCCAGCAGCCGCGGUAAUACGUAGGGGGCAAGCGUUAUUCGGAUUUACUGGGUGUAAAGAGCGCGUAGACGGCAGUGCAAGUCUGAAGUGAAAGGCUAGGGCUCAACCCCAGGACUGCACUGGAAACUGUCAGGCUGGAGUGUAGGAGAGGUAAGUGGAAUUCCUAGUGUAGCGGUGAAAUGCGUAGAUAUUAGGAGGAACACGAGUGGCGAAGGCGGCUUACUGGACUGUAACUGACGUUGAGGCUCGAAAGCGUGGGGAGCAAACAGGAUUAGAUACCCCGGUAGUC
rnacentral:rRNA from 1 species